rnacentral:rRNA from 1 species
ACCGGCUAACUACGUGCCAGCAGCCGCGGUAAUACUAGGGUGCAAGCGUUCUUUAAAGGGGACUGGGCGUAAAGCGUGCGCAGGCGGUUUUGUAAGACAGAGGUGAAAUCCCCGGGCUCAACCUGGGAACUGCCUUUGUGACUGCAAGGCUGGAGUACGGCAGAGGGGGAUGGAAUUCCGCGUGUAGCAGUGAAAUGCGUAGAUUUUCGGAGGAACACCGAUGGCGAAGGCAAUCCCCUGGGGCUGUUCUGACGCUC